GAUGAACGCUGGCGGCGUGCCUAAUACAUGCAAGUCGAGCGAACAGACGAGGAGCUUGCUCCUCUGACGUUAGCGGCGGACGGGUGAGUAACACGUGGAUAACCUACCUAUAAGACUGGGAUAACUUCGGGAAACCGGAGCUAAUACCGGAUAAUAUAUUGAACCGCAUGGUUCAAUAGUGAAAGACGGUUUUGCUGUCACUUAUAGAUGUAUCCGCGCCGCAUUAGCUAGUUGGUAAGGUAACGGCUUACCAAGGCAACGAUGCGUAGCCGACCUGAGAGGGUGAUCGGCCACACUGGAACUGAGACACGGUCCAGACUCCUACGGGAGGCAGCAGUAGGGAAUCUUCCGCAAUGGGCGAAAGCCUGACGGAGCAACGCCGCGUGAGUGAUGAAGGUCUUCGGAUCGUAAAACUCUGUUAUUAGGGAAGAACAAAUGUGUAAGUAAAUAUGCACGUCUUGACGGUACCUAAUCAGAAAGCCACGGCUAACUACGUG
rnacentral:rRNA from 1 species